rnacentral:rRNA from 1 species
GACGAACGCUGGCGGCGUGCCUAAUACAUGCAAGUCGAGCGCAGGAAACCGUCUGAACCCUUCGGGGGGACGACGGCGGAAUGAGCGGCGGACGGGUGAGUAACACGUAAAGAACCUGCCCACGGGUCUGGGAUAACCACGAGAAAUCGGGGCUAAUACCGGACGGGUCAUCGGACCGCAUGGUCCGAGGAUGAAAGGCGCUCCGGCGUCGCCCGUGGAUGGCUUUGCGGUGCAUUAGCUAGUUGGUGGGGUAACGGCCCACCAAGGCGACGAUGCAUAGCCGACCUGAGAGGGUGAUCGGCCACACUGGGACUGAGACACGGCCCAGACUCCUACGGGAGGCAGCAGUAGGGAAUCUUCCACAAUGGACGAAAGUCUGAUGGAGCAACGCCGCGUGAACGAUGAAGGCCCUCGGGUCGCAAAGUUCUGUUGUAAGGGAAGAACAAGUGCCGCAGGCAAUGGCGGCACCUUGACGGUACCCUGCGAGAAAGCCACGGCUAACUUCGUGCCAGCCGCCGCGGUAA